UCUGUCUCCGCAACGACCAAAGCUUCAACCUUUCUCUUGAAGUUAACUGAUCAUCGUGAUGGAGGUGGAGAUCGGGCAGGUGGAGGCGGCAGCGCCUUGGCUGCGGCUGAACGAUGACCUGGUUGAGCUCGUCCUCUCUUACCUGCCCCUGCGAUCGGCAGUCGUCGCCGGCGCCGUAAGUAGGCAGUGGCGAAGGAUUGUCUCCCACCCUGGAUUCGCUAAACGCGCCGCCUCUUCCCGGCGGAGGCCGCCCUGGUUCUUCCUGUACGGCCAGAACAACGUGGUCCUCCGCAAGAACCAGGCUUUCGGUUUCGACCCGGACGCCGGCGAGUGGAUCGCGCUCCCUCCCUCGCCCUCCGCGGUCCCCGUCGAAUGCUUCGCCGGCGCGGGCGGGUUCUUCUUCGCCACCAUCUCCGCGACCCGGUUCUGCUACGCGCCGCUUCUCCGUGGUCCCUGGCGCGAGACCUCUCCGCUGUUAUUCUCCCGUUACAACCCCCUCGUCGGCGUCUUCUCCUCCCCCGGAGGACGCCGUCGAUUCAUCGUGGUCGGCGGCGCCCGAUUCAUCGGCGGGCUUGUCAACCUCGAAGAUCCCCUCGCGGUCGAGAUCUACGACCCGGAGUCGGACUCGUGGGAGCUCUGCGCUCCGCUCCCGCCGGAGUUCCAGCCCGGGAACUCGUCGCAGUGGCUCUCCGCCGCCCUUCUGGCCGGUCGAUUCUUCUACGUGUUCGGGAUCUACUCCUCCUCCAUCGCCGCCUUCGACCUGAGCCGCCGCACUUGGAGCUCGUUCCAAACCCUCCGCCCCCCUGGCUUACUCUUCUCCUUCCUCCUCGCUUCCGGCGAUCGGCUCUUCCUCGCGGGCCUCUGCAACACCCCCGAAGGCCCGCCCUGUUUCUCCCUCUGGGCCGUCGACCACCGCACCAUGGACUACGCCGAGAUCGGCGCGAUGCCGAGCGACCUUCUUUCCUGCCUCUUCGAUACCGACGACGACGACAACAAGUUCGCCAGCCUCAAAUGCGUAGGCCUCGACGGCCUCGUCUACGUCUUCAACGAAGACCACCACAAAGCCUACCCAGCCUGCGUCUGCGAGAUCACCGAAACCUCCUCCGCCGCCGCCGCCAACCUUCCGGCGACUUCCUCGCCGCAAAAUCUGCGAUGCACUUGGAGAAAGGUGCCGCCUUUGCCCAGUCCGGUGAAUCGAUUCCACAAGGGGAAGAAGCAUGUGCACUAGUCGAAAUGCUCUUGGAGCUCAUCAAUUGCUUGCUGUUCUUAGUGCUGGUGGUAUGCUUUAACUCACCACGCUCUGUUCUGCACUAUCUGAAACUGAUUCAUAUUGAUGUUCUUCAGUCUUUAUGAUCUCAUGGGUCAUCUGAGAUGGUGCGGCGGGGGCGCUGGGGACAAGCGAUUUCACCUUUUGCAACAUGUUCUUCAGUCCUUGUGUCCUCUUGAGAUGGUCUAGUGGCUAGCGUAUGAGAUGUUGUCAUCAUGAGAUCUGAGGUUCGAAUUUCGAUAAAAUCGAGGUAAAUGCCCAUUAUGUGUUAGUCACUAUUUCAAAGAUUAGUAGUUGUCCGUGAUUUACUUUCUCCGUGUUAAUCCUGGGACGAGUUGAUGGAGAUACUGUGGGCGAGCGUAUUCGUCUUUUUGUCAUCAUGUUCUUUAGUUUUCGAGUGCGUAAACAUCACUUUUCGAUAGAGUUUUCUUUA